GUAAUUUAUUUACCUAGUUCCCUGAGAGUAGAGUUUCUGGUGGUUUCUUGCCUUUUCCUAUAGUGACUGUCCUCUUUCAUAGAUCUUUCUAUUCCUGCCUGUGCUCCGCACGAUAAACUAUUCAUGGUAAUUUGGGCUAAUUGUUACGAGCAGCAGCUGUUGAACCCAAACACCGCUGCAGGGUGGGAAGAAGCUCAGGUGUCGGGCUGGAGCUUCACCUCUCCAGUCGGAUCCUCCCCUCACGUGCUUGGUGUUCAGUAAAUUGUGGUUUCUUUCUUCCUUGAUAGGGGAGGUGUUGCUGCAAGGAUCAUGAGUGCAUCCCAUAUUAAUUAGGGAGAUUGUAAGAGGUUUUGCAGGACUCCUUGGAUAUAUAAUCAGAGACUAGAAUGGUGCUUUGCCAUUGCAGCCUAUUUGUUUUCCAGUUAAUAAGGAGAAAGAAUUGGGCCGUCUGGCUGAUACACUUGUUACUAAUUAGCUGUGUGGCAAUACCCUCUUUUGGGCGUUAGCUUCCCUAUGUACAAAAGAAGGUUUCACUAGCUCCAGUCCUGGAGGGCACACGGCCCAGCCCCGGACAGCCUUUUGCCUUGCAGGAACGCAGACCCAGUGAUGCCAGGUCUAAAUUUUCAAGAAAAGCUAGAAAUCCAGAUUAUGUAGAGAUUCAAUAUUUAAAAGUUGGGAACUUUUUUUUUUAAGUCAAUUGCUGGAGCACCAGUUUGCUGUCUCUGAAUUAAUGUGAUUUUAAGCAUUUCUCGUAGUGACCUGUUGAAGCAUUGUGUCUGAGUGCAGAGACGGAACUCUUGAAGAACGGAAGAGAUUUCAGAGAAAAGUGACAAAUUAAAUGAUACGUCUUGUGGCAAAGUGACCAGCACACAGUAAUCAUUCAGUUCGUGUUUGUUUAUGAAAAAUCACUUAAAAACGAAAAGACGAGGAGGAGGAAGGAGCCAAGAGCUGGCCGCCACCGUCUUCAGUCACAUUGGUCACCUGGAAAGCAGAAUCCUAUCAAUGGAAUUGUAUUGUUCCCUUGCUUUCAACAUUGUGGCCAUCUACUCAUCCUGUCUCCAGGAAUUGCUUAGCUGUAUUUCUCGCAGUAGCUGAAGAAACUGAGGCUCAGGGCUGCCUUGCUAGCCAGCAGCUGGGCUUAGCUUUGAUUCCAGUCUGCCUUGGCUACCACGGCUGACCUCUUGCCACGCCACCGUUGCCUCUCUCUCUCCAUGCUCCAUGGGCACCGCGAUGCCAGCAGUCUCCCUGAGGAGCCAGGCCUCGGGCUGUGCAGGCCCCUUGCAUUAAGAGACCCUCUGCAUAUCUUCUUUCCCUCCCACUGGUAUGUCAUUAAUAAAUGUGCACGAUGUGCCUUCAGCACUGCAGAGUGUGGUGGAGUGAAAGCAACUGGAUGGGAUGGGUGCCAGGGGCCCGGAGGGCCACGCUGAGGAGUGGGGGCUCUGUACUGGUGGCAGUGGGCAGCCACCGGUGGGUUUUAAGCUGGGCAUAACCAGUUAGGAAGCUAGUAGAUCAGGGGAGAAAUGUCAAGGUCCAGAAUAAGGCAGAUCACUGAGGGGUGAGACAGGCUGGGUUGAGGGGUGUUAAGGCGAGGGAACCACGGGAGCUGGUUGAGGAGUGGAGGGCCUGACUGAGUUCCAUGUUUCGCGCGUCUCCUGUGUGCCACGAGAUGGGGCUGUCAUGGAAAGCAGACCCCGUCCCUGCUCUCAGGAAGCUUCCUUUCCAGAAGUCGACAAUGUGACUGCAUGAACUCACAGGAUAAAUUAGAUUGUGGUAAGUGCUGUGACAAGAUGACACUGGGCAGUGGGUUGCAGCGGCCUGGGGGACAUUUGAGCCAAGACCUCAGUGGUCAGCAGGAGCCAGCCACGCAGUGUUCCAGGCUGAGGGACGGAGAUGCCAAGGCCUUUAGGGAAGGCCCGUGGACCCAAGUGGCUGGAGGGGCGCUUGGCCUCCACGAUGCGGGCAGGAGGCGCGGGGAGAGGCCGUGGAAGGCGAUGCGUUUGGGUUUGGACGUCGCAGGUGCCCGAGAGACAUUCAAGUGGAGCUGACUUGGGCUGUCUAGAAGAGAGGCGACGGGUGGCUCCGAAGGAAGAGGCCUGACACCGAGUCCGGAAGAACGUCGCAUCGAGGCAGAGGGCGCAGGACGAGCCAGCGACAAAGGCGGGGGCGGAGCAGCGGAGGGGUAGGCGCGAGGCAACGGCAGCCUUGGCCGCGCGGGCCACGCUCAGAACUUGGCAAGCCCUCUUUCCCAAACACUCGCCCCCAGCCGCCCCGGCCUCCCGGCGAACAACGCCUGUGCCUAAUCGCGCCGGGGACACCUAAUCCCGCCGCGCGCCGCUCCAGCCCGCGCCGCGCUCCCGAGGGCAGGGGCUCCAAGGGCGAGGGCUCCUGACGGCCUGGGC
rnacentral:lncRNA from 1 species